rnacentral:rRNA from 1 species
CAGCCGCCGCGGUAAAACCAGCACCUCAAGUGGUCAGGAUGAUUAUUGGGCCUAAAGCAUCCGUAGCUCGUUUUGUAAGUUUUCGGUUAAAUCCAUGCGCUUAACGUAUGGGCUGCCGGGAAUACUGCAUAACUAGGAAGUGGGAGAGGUAGACGGUACUCGGGAGGAAGGGGUAAAAUCCUUUGAUCUCUUGAUGACCACCUGUGGCGAAGGCGGUCUACCAGAACACGUUCGACGGUGAGGGAUGAAAGCUGGGGGAGCAAACCGGAUUAGAUACCCGGGUAGUCCCAGCUGUAAACUAUGCAAACUCAGUGAUGCAUUGGCUUAUGGCCAAUGCAGUGCUGCAGGGAAGCCGUUAAGUUUGCCGCCUGGGGAGUACGUACGCAAGUAUGAAACUUAAAGGAAUUGGCGGGGGAGCAACA